UCGCCUGUUUAACAAAAACAUCUCUAAAAUUUUUAGUAAUCCUGCCCACUGAAAACUUUUAAAUGGCUUCUUAAGGUAGCGCAAUAAUUAGUUUAUUAAUUAUAAACCUGAAUGAAGGAAUUACUUAUUAUAAAUAAAUAAUAUUUCUUAUUUAAUUUUAGGUUUUAGUGCAAACGCUAAAAUACCCCCUAAAGACGAUAAGACCCUAAAAUCUUCUAAAUUUUAAUUGGGAUGAUCCGCUUUUCUAACAAACUUUUUUUAAAUUUUUAAGAACCUUAUUAAGCUUUAAGUUUAAGAUACUUUAGGGAUAACAGCUUUUACUCUUUUUCAAGCUCUUAUUAAAAAAGAUUUAAAGACCUCGAUGUUGAAUUAACCCUAUAAGCCGCAAAAGGCUAAUUUUCUUUAGUCUGUUCGACUAAAAUUGGUUACGUGAUCUGAGUUCAGACCGG
rnacentral:rRNA from 1 species